GUCUCGAUGGUCUAAUGGUUAUGACGCGCGUCUCACACACUCGAGGCUCCCGGUUCGAUCCCGGGUCGAGACA
rnacentral:tRNA from 1 species